rnacentral:rRNA from 1 species
AGAGUUUGAUCAUGGCUCAGAACGAACGCUGGCGGCAGGCUUAACACAUGCAAGUCGAACGAAUGUAGCAAUACAUUAGUGGCGCACGGGUGAGUAACGCGUGGAUAUCUGCCUUUUGGUUCGGGAUAACCUUGGGAAACUAGGGCUAAUACCGAAUGGUUCCUACGGGAUAAAGAUUUAUCGCCAAAAGAUGAGUCCGCGUCCGAUUAGCUAGUUGGUGAGGUAAUGGCUCACCAAGGCGACGAUCGGUAGCUGGUCUGAGAGGACGAUCAGCCACACUGGGACUGAGACACGGCCCAGACUCCUACGGGAGGCAGCAGUGGGGAAUAUUGGACAAUGGGGGCAACCCUGAUCCAGCCAUGCCGCGUGAGUGAUGAAGGCCUUCGGGUUGUAAAGCUCUUUUGGCGGGGACGAUGAUGACGGUACCCGCAGAAUAAGCCCCGGCUAACUUCGUGCCAGCAGCCGCGGUA